UACGGAGGGUGCGAGCGUUAUUCGGAAUUACUGGGCGUAAAGCGCGUGUAGGCGGGGAGGCAAGUCUGAUGUGAAAGCCCCGGGCUUAACCUGGGAAGUGCAUUGGAAACUGCAUUUCUUGAGUGCUGGAGAGGAAGGGGGAAUUCCCGGUGUAGAGGUGAAAUUCGUAGAGAUCGGGAGGAAUACCAGUGGCGAAGGCGCCCUUCUGGACGGCAACUGACGCUGAGACGCGACAGCGUGGGGAGCAAACAGG
rnacentral:rRNA from 1 species